rnacentral:rRNA from 1 species
GACGAAGGGGGCUAGCGUUGUUCGGAAUUACUGGGCGUAAAGGGCGCGUAGGCGGCCCUUCAAGUCAGGCGUGAAAGCCCCGGGCUCAACCUGGGAAUUGCGCUUGGGACUGGGGGGCUGGAGUUCGGGAGAGGAGCGUGGAAUUCCCAGUGUAGAGGUGAAAUUCGUAGAUAUUGGGAAGAACACCGGUGGCGAAGGCGGCGCUCUGGACCGAGACUGACGCUGAGGCGCGAAAGCGUGGGGAGCAAACAGG